UACGGAGGGAGCUAGCGUUGUUCGGAAUUACUGGGCGUAAAGCGCGCGUAGGCGGCUUUGUAAGUUAGAGGUGAAAGCCCGGGGGCUCAACCCCGGAAUUGCCUUUAAGACUGCAUCGCUUGAAUCCGGGAGAGGUGAGUGGAAUUCCGAGUGUAGAGGUGAAAUUCGUAGAUAUUCGGAAGAACACCAGUGGCGAAGGCGGCUCACUGGACCGGCAUUGACGCUGAGGUGCGAAAGCGUGGGGAGCAAACAGG
rnacentral:rRNA from 1 species